rnacentral:rRNA from 1 species
CCUACGGGAGGCAGCAGUGAGCAAUAUUGGUCAAUGGGCGAGAGCCUGAACCAGCCAAGUCGCGUGAAGGAUGACGGCCCUAUGGGUUGUAAACUUCUUUUAUAAGGGAAUAAAGUGAGGCACGUGUUCCUUUUUGUAUGUACUUUAUGAAUAAGCAUCGGCUAACUCCGUGCCAGCAGCCGCGGUAAUACGGAGGAUCCGAGCGUUAUCCGGAUUUAUUGGGUUUAAAGGGAGCGUAGAUGGUUUCUUAAGUCAGCUGUGAAAGUUUGUGGCUCAACCGUAAAAUUGCAAUUGAAACUGGUUGACUUGAGUACAUUUGAGGUAGGCGGAAUGCGUGGUGUAGCGGUGAAAUGCUUAGAUAUCACGAAGAACUCCGAUUGCGAAGGCAGCUUACUAAACUGUCACUGACACUGAUGCUCGAAAGUGUGGGGAUCAAACAGGAUUAGAUACCCUUGUAGUC